rnacentral:rRNA from 1 species
UACAGAGGUCCCAAGCGUUGUUCGGAUUCACUGGGCGUAAAGGGUGCGCAGGCGGGUUUGCAAGUUCGAUGUGAAAGCCCCGGGCUUAACCCGGGAAUGGCAUUGGAUACUGCAGAUCUGGAGGAUCGGAGGGGGGACUGGAAUUCUUGGUGUAGCAGUGAAAUGCGUAGAUAUCAAGAGGAACACCAGUGGCGAAGGCGAGUCCCUGGACGGUACCUGACACUGAGGCACGAAAGCUAGGGGAGCAAACAGG